UUCGAGCUCUGCCAGGCGGUGCAACCGCCCCAGUCAGGAGGUGCAACCGCCUGAUCCCGGAAUUCCGAGAAUUGACAGUUUUGAGCUCCAAAUUUGAACUGUGUUGGGGCCUAUAAAUACCCCACCCAUUCAGCACUGAAAGGAAGCAACUUACACUCGAAAUCUUGAUAUCUUUCUGUGAUUCUUAGAGCUCAAAACUGUUGUAAAGGCCAAAAGUUCUCCUCC
rnacentral:lncRNA from 1 species